AUAUCUGUAGCUGUCUGAACAGCAGGAGCAGUGGCCAAGUGCCCAGCCUUUCAUCUUUGAGUCUCCAGAGAGUCUUGACCAUUUGUCUUGUAUAUAGACUUCACUAAAAUCAACUCUAUCUUUGUCACCUCCAGGCUGGGUACUAACGUACUUUCUGCAGAGCUUAUUGCAUAGUGAACAUUAAAUUAGAACUCCAUAAACUUAAUUUGCUUCCAGUGCUUCAUUUGCUUCCAAGUGUAAUACUUGGUAUUGAUUUUAACUUAUAUUUAACUUUUAUAGUGGUAGUUGUGCGUACUUAAGAGGCUGCUACUUCUUCACAGCUGUGAAACCUGACCUGAGUAUUAUAUUUUAACCAUUGGAGAUAUCAGUAUCUGUUUUCUCUGAAAGAUCUGUGAAGUGUUAACCUAGUAGAAACCAUAUUUGAAAGCUUUCAUGGCAUUCUGCAUAGACUGUGUAUUUGUAGAGUGACAUUGGAGAAGAGCUGUAGAACAACCGCCAAUCCUGUUUUGAUAUAAUACUUAUUUAUUUAUUUAUUUCAAAAUUAUAUUUUAUUAUUGAUAAGUGUCUUUUAAUAUGUUUUCUCUUGAAUGCAUGUGUAUUUUGCAACACACUGGAGACAUCAAGCUAAAUCCAGCACUGUUUUUUAUUCAUUCUCAGUUACUGUUUUUGACAUUGUCAAAACAAAUGCAAUGAGGUCAGCAAGCACUCUAUAAUGACUGUCCUUCACGUGCUUUAACUUUUCGAAAAAAAUUGGGAAUUUUCUUCAUAUUACAAUUGCUUACAAUUUGUUUUUCUUACCCCCCAUCCUCCCCCCCCCCCCAAAAAAAAAAAAAUACAUAAUACAGACAAAAUUUGCUUUUGGUAAGAUCUCUUAAAGUUAGUUUUUACACAGCUGACUCCACUCAAUGACUUUUUCUGUGAUCAUCAUUUUUCAAAGUAAAAUUUAAUUUUCUAUUUUUGGUAUGCAGACCACUGUGUGACCUUUAGCUGCCAUCUGGCGUUGAGUUUUAGCUCCAGCAGAAGAGUACAAUGCGUAAAGGGCACAGAUUUCCCUUAAUUUUCUGGACCAUAAGUAAGAAUAUAACAUCCCUUGAGUAUAGUAGAAUGCAUGGGCAUGGCAAGUAUGUGGUAUCAUCAUGAAUACAAUAAGAGCAAUCAUUCUUCAUCCAGUUGUGUGUACAUGUUAUCAGUAAAGAAAUUCUAGUUUUUAUUUUGAACUUUCCUGGUGUUUUCUGGGUUGUGUAACUCUCAUGAAAACAGUCAGUCCUUCAAACUCUUUUCUAGUUGAAUUUUUAAAUGACGAAGAUGCUACAAACUGGUAAAUAUUUUAAUUUUUCCAUUAUUUUUCAAUGUCAGUAAUAUUAGGCCUAUUGUUCCUAUUGUAACCUAUGUAUCAUGGUUUGUCUUAAAAUGACCUAAGGAAACCUGAGCAUAGAAAGAAACUGAGCAUGAUUCUGAAUUGAGCAGAGGAAGAAAAUGAUUUGUGAUUUAGAGAUUAAUGAAUAUAUCACUAAUGAGCUUUUCAAGACAAAGCAAGUGAAAACUAUUUCCACUAGAGGAAGUAGAUAUUGAACAAAUGUUGGCAAAUACAGAAAUUAGGGAUACCCAACUUAGAGAAUUGCUAAAACAUUGAAAUUAAUACAUGUUAUGUAGAGUGUUUUGAAAGAGAUGUAGCCAUACAUUGUCAAGAAAGCCAUUCUGUGCUUCCUUCAAAAUAUAAAGAAUCCCAAUUUGAACUGAAUAUAGGUUCUGAGCACUUGAAAAGCAUGUUAAAACAUCAUUUCUGAAAUGUGCCUUUUCACUUCAAAAAAGAGAAAAUGUCCAGAAGAGUCAUUUACAUGCAUUUUAGAAUUCCAGCUAACUGAUGCCUUCCCCUUUCCAGAAACUCACAGGGACAGCGAAGGAGUGUCCCUAUCAAUUGCAGUGAUCUUUCUUAAUUUUUGCCGCCUUACAAGAUUUUAGCAUGUGACUGCAUGAAACAUAGUAUGUAGAAAUGAAAAGCAUACUCAAUAUUUAAUAAUAUUAGGACAGCCAAUAAUUCAUCAGAAAAAAAUAUUCAGCUCUCACUAGAAGACUCAAGCCAUAAUAGAAAAAGCAGCAGGGAAAAAAAAAAAAAAGUAAUUAAAACUCUGUAAUAGCUUCUUUUCUGACAAUGUUUUCAGUUUUCUGUGACUCUGAUAUUUUCUAUCUUUAUUCUCUUCUUCAAAUUACUUUUUAUUGAAGUAAGCAUUAAAUAAUGAUAAGGAAUUGAAAUUUGCUAAUAAAGGGAAUGAAUAGAGUAAUGGUAAAAAUAGCGAAGUAAUAGGAAUAUACAUAAGCACAUAAAAUAUUGUAACAUUGUUUUGCAGAAUGCUGUGGUGUUUUUAUCCUGUUUAUAACACCUUUGUGUUUUGCUUGAAAUGUUCUUGUGACACUUAUUCACUCCUUUCCAAAUGACUGGACAGGUUUUCAAUUGCUGCUAAUCAACAUAAUUUGGUGAUGUUAAUGCAUUGUUUUACUGCUCCAAGAGCUAUUUUUAGAAAAUAAAUAUUAUACACAGAUUAGAAAACCAAACUGCUAACACUGUAUUGAAGUAGCAACAUCUGUGUUGCCACCUACCCAGCAGACACAUUUUUAAAUUUGAGAUUCCUCUACAAACUGGUAUGCUGUGAUUCUUAUCCAGGCAAUAAAACCAAGCAAAUAAAUUCUGCAAAACAAGACUCCUGAAGCACUCUAAGGCAAUUUUUUUUAUUUGAACGUGCCUCUCAUUGACUAAUCAAGAGAUAGUUGGAACAGUGCAAACUAUUACAUGGAGGUAAAUGAAUUAUAAAUCAAGGUAACCCUUUGGGUAUUCAAGUCUUGCCUAAAACAAACAAAAAACCAAACAACAACAAAAAAUGGUGAUUGUGCCAUUUCAGGAAACGCACUUGUGAAAACAUCAGUUGAAGCAGAAGGCUCCAGCUCAUUGUAGCUGUUAGAUGCUUGAGCAAGUCCUGAACAAAAGCAAGCUGUAAGUGAUCAUUUCAUUCAAGUGCUGGAUUCCUCCUGCUGUGUACGAGCCACGUCGCUGGAGAGGACUGAUGACAGGAUAGCCUCAAGCCAGGUGGAGCUUACUAUAAAUACACAGAUAGGAGGAAAACAUAGAAAAACAACCAGACUUUGAUAAAGACAGACAAGAAUUCUGUGAACAUAAUUGAAAGUAACCCUUAAUGAUGGCUUAUAAUGAAAUAGCUUUAAAAUCAGUCUGGUUAAACUUGAAUCUGUCAGGUGUGAGAGUGCACCGAUAGGUGUGCUGGGCUGAGGAGACUGUCAUACUAGGUUGGUAUUCUGCUUUGGCUUCUAGCUGUCAUUUUGCAUUAAACUACUUUUACUUUUUUUUUUUUUUUUUUUUUUAUAUAUAAAUUACUCAAGCUGAUAGUAUGCGCCAAAUGCCAGAUAGAUGUUCUGUGACUGAGGAGGAGUCUUAAUGUUUCUACUGACAGCUUCUCUGAGAGGCUAUAUGUUCCUUGAACUGGACCACCAGUGGGGGUCUGCUCCAGCCCUCUGACCCAACGUGAACUUCAAAAUAGAACGUGUUUAGGUAGCCCCCUCCUGUGCAGUCUCAGCGUGUUCUACUCAUGGUAUCACAGGUAACUUGUUCCACAACAGGAGGUAAAUGGAGAUUAAAAAAAUAAUAAUAUGCAAACAGUAGAUCUACUAAUCUCCACCAGAGCCUCCUGGAACUAUGCUGUUAACCAAUAAACACUUCUUGCUACUACAAAAGAGCCUUCUAAAGUUGAAGUAAUGCCAAGCUCUUCAUAAAUGUCAACAAUAUCAAAUACUCUUUUGAAAGUUUUUCAGCAUCCUUCCAAAUUUGUGUUUGUGUGUAUACUCAUAAUCCCACAAAUUAUUUCAUUUUCAGGGUUCUGGUAAUCCACUGCUUCCCACCAGUUAUAAGAGGAGUGAUUCAUUACUCCUGAAAACACAAACACACACACACACAUACACACUGUGAUGAGUGUGUGUGUGUAUAAACUUUAAUACUCUGAGCUUGGCUUCACCUUUGCAGCAUUAAUUUCUGAAACAACUUUUGAAAAUGUUACUUUGCACGUGUUUUUAUUUCUUAGGAAGUUCUUCAAAACGAAGAGAAGUUGCUGUUCUUCUGUAGAAACGUAUGGUAGCUGCUGUUAGAAAAAAAAAUGAUGACAGGUGACAAGCUAUUAAUCUUAUGACAGUUUGAUGUCUAUAUAAUGCUGCAUAUUUUUAUCCAUAGCCAAUUAAGACAGUAAAGGGUUUUGAUAAUGUAAUAAAGACAGACUAGAAAUGCUACCUGCAUAAAAAAUAUAUUCAAAGGGAUAAUCAUGUUGAUUUAGUUUAGAAUAAACUGCGUGAGGGAAAAAAAAAAUAAGGUCUGUGCUGGGAUGUGUUAAUUUUCUUUAUGGUAGAUCAUACGGUGCUAUGUUUUGGAUUUGUGACCAAAACGGUGUCAACAACACACUGAUGUUUUAGCUAUUGGUGAACGGCACUUGCACAGCAGCAAGGCAUUCUCUGUUUCUCAUGCUGUCCUGACAGUGAGGAGGCUGGGAGUGCACAGAAUCUGUGAGGGGACACAGCUAGGGCAGCUGACUGCACUGACCAAAGGAUGAUCCAUGCCAUCCUCUGUAGUAAAGGCUGGGGGAAAGAGGGAGGGAACUACAGUGUGUAUCUUCUUUCCUGCUGAUGUGAAUGAAUUCCUUAUUUUACUUUGCCUCUAAGUGUACCUUUGCUUUAUCUAUUAAACUGCCUUAAUCUCAGCCUACAAAUUUUCUCACUUUUGCCUUUCACAUUUCCUACUCUAUCCCACUGGGAGGGCAGAGGGAGAGCUGCUUACUGGGUUAACCCACAAGGUCUUAAAGUUUUUAGUUUCAAAGAGGCAGCCUAUCAGAAAUCAGAAGACCUACUUUAGAAAGCCAGCUGAACUGAGUUUGUCAAAGGUUUAAAAACGGAGAAAGUUUUAAUCACAUUUCAGUCAAAAGUGUAAAACUCCCAAAUCCAGGGCAAGCGCUACAAAUUACAAGUCGGUAAACUAAAAGAAUGGUAGAAGCAAAUAGAAAACAUAUAAAAGUGGGUGAAGAAAGGGACUAACCAAAGAAUCUUGGAUGGUUCAGAUGGAACUGCCAAAAGUCAAGCUAGAAAAGCAAUGCGUAACAAGUACCAAAGUUAACUUAUCCAUUAAAAGAACUAUGAAAGAAGCAAUAAAGCCUUUGUAACGACGAGAGAGAUUAAAGAUGCCUAAAUAAAAUGUUUUAAUAUAACAAUAAUAUUGACUAUUAGCUAAAGUAGGAUGGCAAAUGGAACAAGAAUAUGACAACUGUAUCCAGUACAGAUCAGAAAAAACAGAACAGGCUUGAAGGCCUAAUAAACAAUAACAUGGAGUGAUAGACAUUGUAACAAGAAUUUUAAAUAAAAAAGAAUUAGUUCCUCUAUUUACAAGAAAGGGAAGUCACAGUCCAGGAAGCUGUAGGUUUAUAAGUCUGACCUCAAAAGAAUGCAAAGCUUUACAGCUUUCUACGGUAACAGGAAAAUGAGUUAAAAUUCUACAACAGUGUCCAAAAUGUUUGCCCCCUUUAUAUCUUUCAUUAACAGUGCCUGGUUUACUAAAUAAAGUGUUGUUAAUCCCAUCUAUUCUGAUUUUAUCAAAGUCUAUGAUCUGGUAACAGUAUGAUAAAUUAAUAUUUGACCUGGGGAAAAAAAUAUAAAAUUACGGCAAGAACUUUAUUAUGGCUAAAGAGUUAGAGACAGCAGUAGCUUGUGUUGAAAGGGAAAUUGUUGGAGUGAGAUACUAAUAUCAUUAAUGAUAAUCCUCCACAAACAGCCUUAGGGCUUAUCUUGAAAAAAUAUACUUAUAAAUAAAUUAAAAAAAAAAAAAAAAAGAAAUCAAUAUUUUCCAGCACAAAAGUCAUUGCCCUUCUCCAGUCACAUGUAUCAUGUAUUGUGAAAUGUUUAUUUAGACUUCUCAAUGGAUUGGGAAGGAUUUAAUUUGUUGUUUAUUUGGUCAGUUUAUUUUAGUCUAUUUCCCUUAAACUUCAUGAAAUUUGAGAGAAGGAAAAAAGCUGAAGACGUCUUAACUGUGGGGCAGUCAAUCCUUUCUAGAGCCUCUUGGAUCAGUUUUAUAAGUUACAUUAAAAAUAUUUCUUUAUACAUUUUGAAAUGCAUAUUGAGUUAAUAGCAGGUGUCAAUAUUAAGAAGUUACUGUUCUGUGUGGACUUAUAACUCGGAGAGGUCUUUUAAACCUGAUUGAUAUUAAUACACUUGAGAUGGCAUGAUGCUUUGAUGUUUCAACAUUUGUACAUAGUGCAUUGGACAGCUGAUAACAGAGAGAAAGUGUUGGAUGAUCAAAAUCAGUGCACGAUACUACUUCAGGAAAACAGGCCAUUUUCUUUUUCAGUUUGAGAUCAUUGAGAACAUGGAAAAAAAUCACUUACAAAACCAGUGGAAUGGGUAAGUAGUUUGAUUCUUUUCCAAACACUUACAUUCCUAACUUGAAUGGUGAAAGUGAUCAUGUGUUAGACCCUAAAAGGAUCAGCUUGAUUUUUCUCAAUCUUUAAAGCAGAUUUCGCAGAGUAAGUUUUCAUGCCCUAUUCUGAAUCCCAUUCUGAUUGGAAAAGGAUAAGAAUGAGUUACAUAUAAUGAAUUUCAGUAAUUGCGUAAGUGUUAUAGAUAGCUUCACAGUUUCCACAUACAAAAUGGAGAUAAUACAUGUAAGUCAAAAAAUGACAUUGUAAGUACUGACAAAAAAGAGAAGACAUAAUUAACAAUAUCAAGGGCACAGGAAGAGAUAUUUUCAGUGUGAGGCUAGGUAAAUGCAUGCUGAAAUGACUAAUUUAAGGCUACAGGAUUUUAGCAUGUUGUUGUUAAAUCACACGUAAAGGUAUGCUGAGGAAUGUACCACUUCUCUCAGAGAGGAACAACAACAACAAAAAAAAGUCACCAUGACUGGACGAAGAAACUGUGGAGGAGGUUGUCAUGAAGAGUGGUAGAAAGGAUAUCUAAGAAAGUGAGUAUAGUAAUAGCAGGACUACGAGGCUGCCUCUGAGAGGGCACAUGGAGGUCAAAAGAAACAGUACCUAGAAGCAUCGAUACAUGUUGCCAGCAGCAAUGCGUAUAGCAACUGCAUCUAACAAAAUCUAAUUUUCUGUGAAAAUUAUUCACAAAAAUCUCUGAUUUCUGCUUCACCUUUAAUUAUGAUUGCUAGGGAUUGUUACGAAAAGAAAGAAUAAAAAGUAAAGAGGGUACUUCUGCAAGGUGCCUUUUCAUAAUGAUAAGAAUUCAGAUCAUUAACUUUUGCAUAGGAUUUUGCUUUCUCAUAUACAGAGUUUCUCAUUCCAGUCCCCCAGCUUUAAAACUAGUUAAAAUCUUUACACCCGCAUACAUGUAUGUAAGGUCUUUUAUUUUUAUAUUAUUUUAAAUCAAUAUUGAGAUGUUUCUCAGGAAGAGUACUACAUGAAGAAGCAGGUCCCACGUACUUCCAAAAUGUGCAAGUAAGACAAAAAUGUGUCAGGAAGAUAAUACACUGGAUGUUUUUCCAAGGAAAAGUCUACUGUCUUAGCUUAUGUGGCCAGGUGAAUAGCAGAAAAUAAAAAAAUUGCAUGCAUUUAGUCUCUAGGAGGCAGAGUGCUCUUUCCUACAGACGGUUGGCAUUACAGAUACUUAGGAGAAGAUUAUGGCUGGUGAAGUAGAGCUUUUGAUGAAGAAAACAUUGAAUCUGUAAUUCUCUGUUCUUCAAAGUUAAGGUGGCUGAACUGUGGCUUCAUGUGACAGUAUUGUACAGGAAAUAGUGCUGAUUCACAUUACCACAAGAAAAGCACUCAUAAAAACCUGAUUUCUAAGUGCCUUUUCAGUGUACCUUGAGGUGGCAGCUCCAUUAUGCACACUCCCUAUGUGAACUGUGGCCUUGUCCCUUUUUCAACUAAUUUGCUUCUGGGGAAAACUGUUAUUAAGACAUGUCUUUGUGAAGCAGUAUAAAGAGGAUCAUUUCUUGUUCCUUCCUCAGCUGCUUGAACACAGAUAGAUACCUGGAAACCUAGUCCAAAAUGUGUAUGGAAAGACUGUAUUUGCUUUUACUGUCCUGUAUAAAAGUUAGCCAAUUUAAUGAAGUUACGGAGGAAAAUUAAUCAAAAUCUUCUAAAAGCUGAUAGCUGAGGUUGAACCUGAACUCUACUUUGGUGGAUCUUCUCUGUUAGAAAAUAAGAAUUUCUAACUAAAUUACUAAUCCUUGGGUCAAAUGUGUUAAUUAUUUAGCUUCUUCUGGUGAUCACCUCUAAUUUAUGUGCCUUAAGUUAAAAACCUAUGUGGUAAGUAAGCAUCAUUCAAAAUAAUCCUUGAACAUGGACUAUGCAUUUCUAUGCAUAAAAAAGAUUUUCAUCAUCAGGAUGAUGACACUUUAUUGUCAAUUAUGUAUCUUUCUGCUUAGCUGCAUUCGUGCUGAAUUUUCUUUUAAUACAGAAAUGAGCUAUAAUCAAUAACUUGUCAAAUUAUUCAUUCCUAAUGGACUAGCCAAAGGAUUUUGACAUUACUCUCUGAAUAAAUUAUCUGAAAUAUAUAUUUCCAUUAUUUGACCAGCUCUCCAGAUUGUUAAAUAAUGUUCUGUGAAUAAUUUAUUCAACAUUUAUCUGUCAAUCUUUGAAUAAUUUACUCACAAAUGCAUUAUUUUUAUUAUUCAGACAGUUAUAUUUCCAGCAUCUGUGGCAAUGUCUUUGUUGUGUGGAAGCAUAGGGAUAUCUGGAAGGAGAGAGAAACUUUUAACUAGCAUAACUUCACUUCUUCAUAAUAAGCGUUCAGUACCUUUUUUUUAUAUACCCAAGUGCAUAAUUAAAUGAAUCUAUUUUCAUCUCUCUCUUCAUUUAACAAGUAGUUUUCUACAACAGUCUUUAACUCAAUGACCCCUACUAUUUUUAUUGAAAUACUUGCACUGUCACUAUCCUGCUUCUGCUUGUUUCUCAAGUCUUCAACAACAUUCAGAAAAGUUCAAUUACUUUAAUUUGUGUGCUGAAGAUACAUGAUGAGGAAAAGAUUUACACUGCUUGUCUGGUGCUGUUAACCCAGGCAUUUUGAACAUAAUAUCUACAUAAAUACAUGGUGAAUAAACACAGGUCUGUGAUAUACAAGCACAAGUGAAAGGAACAAGCUUUUAAGAAUGCAAUCCCAACAGGAAGUGCAGAGAAAGACUGAAUAUGUUGCCUAUCAAAAGGUGUGUUGUGAAAUAUCCCUAUUUAUUUACCAGUUUGUUUUACAUCCAGGUGGCAGAAAAUCCUCCAAGCAUCUGUGCUGGAGCAAUGAUGAAGUGAAAUGAUUUGAAGAUGAACAACCCUGUUCCCUCCUACAGUAUCUGUUCUGCAGUCCUGGUGGUGGGAGCAUGAAAUGAAAUCAGGGGGUUCUGACCGCAGCAUGGGGCUGCCUACCCCUCUGACCUCCUGAAUGUUAAAGGACCAACCCAAGACAUCUGCCAUGUACCUGUUUCUUAAAAGCUAAUAUGAACUGUGUAAAAAUUCAGGAAUCAAGAGCUGCUGCAGAACAGGCACAAACUUCAACAGCUUGCAGGGAUCCUGGUUAAGUGCUGUGGGGGGUGACACAAAAGGUAGAAAACAAGACCAGAGGAAUACCUGUCUGUUUCCCUUCUGGCUCCAUGGAAUGUGCACACACUCAGAGGAAGCAGAUCGUGUGUCUCAAAGGCCAUGUACACUCCACACAGCUGAAAGUAGUAAUCCAGGUACUUGUAGAGAGCUAUGCGAUCUCCCUGAGCCUCCUCUUCUCCAGACUAACCAAUCCCAGUUCCCUCAGCCACUCCUCCCUAGUGUAGAUGUGCUCUGGGAGCACAUGCCUCCCAUCAUCUUCAGAGAGUCUGUGGAAGCAUUCCUGGACAUGGUCAGUGGAGUGGUCCAGCAACAAUAUUAUGGAGGCUGUCUUGAGGUGUAGUGUCAGCUGCCUCUUCUGAUGUGACCUCAUAUGUGGGCCUUCCACCACAUGCUCACCUACCUCUCCUUCAAGAUCCAGGGCCUCAAACCUAUUACAGAGGGGCACCUGGGGAAGCAAGGUUUCAGCUCUUUAUUAGGGGACAAAAUAUAAAAAAAGGAAGAAUGAGGAAGGAGCAAUAAAAAUAACACAAAGCUAAAACCCAAAAUAGUUCAUCCUUUG